rnacentral:rRNA from 1 species
GUAUAGUUUAACUAGUAAAUUAAAGUCUAGGUAAGAAUUCUUCGAUUUUCUAGGGGACGAUAAGACCCUAGAAGCUUUAAAAAAGAAAAAUUUUUAGUGGUUGUAUUGUAUUUUUACUGGGGCGGUAUUAGUGUUUUAACUACUAGUGAUAAAGAUUGAUCCUUAAUAUAAAGAUAAUUCGGUGAAGUUACUCUAGGGGUAACAGUGCGGUAUUUUUGGAAAGGCCUUAUUAAUAAAAAUGUUCGCAACCUCGAUGUUGAAUUAAGAUGUCUACAUGGGGUAGUAAAUAUGGUAGAGGGUUUGUUCAACCUUUAUAAUCUUACAUG